UCUCUGUGCAGAGUUAAAAGCAAGGGGCUGCCCUAAUUGUAGUUUUUCUUUCUGACCGUUUUUCAUAGGGAGGUUGUGCUUUUUGGGUAUUCUGUGUCAGUUUUCACUCUUGGCCAGAAUUUUCUGUGGUUCUGGUGGAGUGUGGUGGUUGGUGCUCCUUGCCUGGGGACACAGUGGCCUUGGGAAGCAUCUCUGUAAAUCAGAGUUAUGCUGGGUUGAUGCCUGAAAACUAGGUGAGAAUACACUACUCCGCAGUGUAAGGCUUACAGCGCAGGUACUUGUUUAUUCAAUGCCACGAUUGAGGGGGAUUGUUCCACCACAAACUCACUCGUCCGUUCUUUGCACAGUACUGGCUUGUAUACAUUUUUUUUUUUUACUUGGUGUGCUCAUUCGUCUUUCUUAUCCUUCAUAUGGUAACAUAUUUUCUAAUUACAUGAUUACAGAAGUCCUUGUGGCACAGGAGCCGUGCUGCUUGCAGAUGUUUAGAGAAAUUGGAUUCAGUGAGUUCUGUAGAAAUCUUCUGCUUACCUUUUAAUCUUCUGGAGAAGAUGGACUGGAACAUGGUAGCUCAGGGGAGACCUUCCCACAGGUGUGAGCUCCAAGUCCCUCCGUACCUGAGGACUCAAAGGUGUUCGGGUGUGACAGCAGAUGGGAAACCUGUGAUGUGCAAGUCACCCAGUUGGAAGCGGUGCUGGAGCUUGGAGUGUGAGGGACUGGGACCAGGGAAAAAGGCAUCAAGUGAGUGGUGUGCCCUGGGGACAGGCGGAGCCUGUCCUUACCCGUCUGCCAGGAGCAUCUGAAGGAAAGCAAACACAGAGAUUGAGUGGUGCAGUGAGGAGCAAGUUGCUGGCUUAUGUGAUUUCUGACUGAGCUGCCACAGAAACGGGCAUCUGUGUGUGUGCAUGCUUCCUCGCAAAUCCAGAUGUGACGUGGAAAUCCUAGGGGAGGAUUUCCAGCCUUGACCACGCGUGACACAGGCUUGUGAAAAUGGAAAUGGCCUUGGCAGAAGAGCAGCUGUGAAGUGAAGCAGAACUGCAAUACAGUUGUUUCCAGGUGCUGCCCAGGAUGGACAUCUGUGGCCUCAGACAGCGAUUGCCUAGGAGGAAGGGGAGGCUUUGCACAGCUCACCUGCACAGCUCAGGACCGGAGAAAUGGUUCCACUCCUCCCAUCUUUGCCAAAAGCUGUGGUGUUUGAGGAGCCAGAGCCAAGGUGCCUUCAGCACCAGGGCUCUGCACUGGAGGGCUCCCGGUCCUGACCGCGCAGGGGUCCCCUUUUCCUCCCUGCUGGGAUGAAGUGUCUAUGGAAUCUGGGGUCUGGGUGAAACUGCAGCUCUGCUGGUAUCCAGGGACGUGAGGUUCCGGGGGACUGCGUUUCCCUGUGGCUUUCCAGGUCGGCAGGAGCCGGAGGAAAUGGGGUGCCAGAGCCGUGCCCCAUCAGGCCGUGUUUGCCUCUGAGGAACAGAGAGUCCGG